GAUGAACGCUGGCGGCGUGCCUAAUACAUGCAAGUCGAGCGAACAGACGAGGAGCUUGCUCCUCUGACGUUAGCGGCGGACGGGUGAGUAACACGUGGAUAACCUACCUAUAAGACUGGGAUAACUUCGGGAAACCGGAGCUAAUACCGGAUAAUAUAUUGAACCGCAUGGUUCAAUAGUGAAAGACGGUUUUGCUGUCACUUAUAGAUGGAUCCGCGCCGCAUUAGCUAGUUGGUAAGGUAACGGCUUACCAAGGCAACGAUGCGUAGCCGACCUGAGGGGGGGAUCGACCACCGGGGAGCGAGGACGCGGCCACACCCCCGAGGUGAGACAGGGGGAGGGAUUUUUCCGGAGGGGGCAAAGGCGUAAGGGGGAAACGCGGCGGAAGGGUGAAAGGGCUUCGAGUCGUAAAACUUUGUUAUUAGGGAAGAACAAAGGUGUAAUAAACUGGGCACGUCUGAACGUAACCUAAGAAGAAGCCCCGGCUAACCUCGGG
rnacentral:rRNA from 1 species